rnacentral:sRNA from 1 species
GCCAGGUGUGGUGGUGCGCACCUGUAAUCCCAGCUACUCAAGAGGCUGAGGCAGGAAGAGUGCAAGUUUGAGGCCAGUUUGGGCAACUUGGUGAGAUGCUGAUCCAAAGUACUGGUUUAUGUAAUUACCUGCUUUUU